UCAAUACCUGUGAAAAAUACAUGCACUGUGAAUUGAAAUAUAUAUUUUAAUUCACAGUGCAUGUAUUUUUCACAGGUAUUGAAUA